ACGACCUUACUUGAACAGGAUCUGUUCUAUAGGCUCGUACCGUUGUAUCCUUGACUUAUAAGGAGGCAAGCACUCAAGCUUGGUUGAUGACAAAUGACCUGUCGGCCAGAGCGUGAUUAACGGCCAGCAUCGUUUCCUCCGGACUCGAUCGACGGCUGUAGAGGAUCGUUCCUUGCUGGCUUCGCCUGGUCAAGGAUGGCCCACAGGUUGUCUGACAGGCU
rnacentral:snoRNA from 1 species